rnacentral:lncRNA from 1 species
GGCCAUCACUAUCGCUAGAAGUCAAUCAAUGAUCGAAUUGGGUGGAAAACAUUGGCAAUCCUACAACCAAAGCCAAAUGAGCUAAAUCAAUAUUCUCUACAAAGUGUCACCAUCUCAAAUCAUUCUGUCAGUUGAAUCUAGAGACAAGGCUUAUUACUGUCUAAUUAUUGCUUGGACCAAGUCUAAUGGAUCAUGCCAA